rnacentral:rRNA from 1 species
UCUGACCUCGAAUCAGGUAGGGAUACCCGCUGAACUUAAGCAUAUCAAUAAGCGGAGGA